rnacentral:pre_miRNA from 1 species
CCCUUAACUAUUAAAAGUUUCGUUUUGGUCCCUUAACUUAUUUUUUGGUUUCGUUUUGGUCCCUUAACUCUUUCUCCGUCAACCACUUUGGUCCUUUAUGUUAGGAUGAAUGUAUUAGAGUUAAGGACCAAAACGAAAUCAAAAAAUAAGUUAAGUGACCAAAACGAAACCAAAAAAUAAGUUAAGGGACCAAAACGAAACUUUUAAUAGUUAAGAGACCAAAACAAAACCAAAAAAUAAAUUAAGGGACCAAAACGAAACUUUUAAUAGUUAAGGGA